rnacentral:rRNA from 1 species
UAGGGAAUCUUCGGCAAUUGGGGGAACCCUGACCGAGCAACGCCGCGUGAGUGAAGAAGGUUUUCGGAUCGUAAAGCUCUGUUGUUAAGGAAGAACGAGUGUGAGAAUGGAAAGUUCAUGCUGUGACGGUACUUAACCAGAAAGGGACGGCUAACUACGUGCCAGCAGCCGCGGUAAUACGUAGGUCCCGAGCGUUGUCCGGAUUUAUUGGGCGUAAAGCGAGCGCAGGCGGUUAGAAAAGUCUGAAGUGAAAGGCAGUGGCUCAACCAUUGUAGGCUUUGGAAACUGUUUAACUUGAGUGCAGAAGGGGAGAGUGGAAUUCCAUGUGUAGCGGUGAAAUGCGUAGAUAUAUGGAGGCACACCGGUGGCGAAAGCGGCUCUCUGGUCUGUAACUGACGAUGAGGCUCGAAAGCGUGGGGAGCGAACAGG